GCGUCGGUCCAUCGUCUUCAUCCAUCUGUGGCGUCGUCUGCAGCGGACGCUGGGUGGUCGGCCAUCCGUCGCCUCCUUCUCUCUACGUUGGUUUGUUCUAUGUUAUUCUGUUCAGAGGUCUUCUGCGCUAUUUUCCCAUCUAAGCCGUCGCUGUUCCUCCCGGUGCUUUGCCUCGCCUGACGUCGCUACACCGCACCGCACCGAGCCCGUCGCGCCUGACCUCCCGUCUGGCCUCUCAUCCCCGCGCCGCUCCUCUCCUCGAUAUCCCUGUACUCGAUCUGUCACAAAACAGUUUAUGAAGAUUUG